GUAUCUGUUGUUGCUAAUGACCAAGAACUAGAGAAAGAGAUUGUCCAACAAUUACAUUGUUUCAACGAUUUUUAUAGUUAACAUUCAGAAAUGAUGUUUUGGUGGUAACAAAGAUAUUAUGUCACGGCUUUGAUAUUUCCAAGUCAGACACUCUUAAUAAAUAAAUUAAACCAAAAUGUCAAUAAGGGUUUUUUAAUUGUUUUUUAUUUUUAUAAAUAUAUGGAUAUUUUGUAUUGGAUUUUUUCAAAAAUAAAAAUAAAAAUAAAAUAAAAAUAUCUGAGUUUUGAGGUGCAUAAAAUUAAAAAUCAAAUUAAAUCUGGUGUAUGAAUUUUUCUUGUUAAACAUCAUUUCACAAGUAAAUCAUAAGGAUUUAAUGUAUAGAUUUUGAGUGAUACAUAACUAAAGAUGGAUAAUUUAGAGAACACUAAUAAUGAAUCAUUGUAAAUAAAGUGAUCAAAAUUAGAGAAUUUGUUUAUUUCUGGAUAUUACAUGUUUACAAAUUUAGUUUUUUAGGUUUUAUUAUUUUUUCUUCUUCAGACACAUAGCAUGUUUCAUAUAUUUUCAAUUCAAUAAUUUUACCAUGCAUUACCAUCCAAUAUUUUCACAA
rnacentral:lncRNA from 1 species